AUAUUGUUAUACGGUGUUUAUAUGGUGUUAUAUAGUAUUAUAUAUAGUGUUAUAAUACACUUCUCACACUUCUCACACUUUAGGCCCUUUUUACACUAUCCUUACCCUAUAAUUUCUAAUAGCCACUUCUCAACAUAAAGUAUUUUAGAACUUCAAAAACCAAAUAUUUGUAAUUUGUUUAUUAAUAGUUUCAUGAUCAUCUUUCAAAAAAUACUUACAACACACGUUUGGUAAACCAUAAGAGAGUAGUAAGCAUUAGCACGAGUAUUUUCUCACCUUUAGUGUUUCAUCUUUGUCUCAUUUGUAGCAUACAGUUGUAUCUCAACACCCGAAGAUAUUAACAAGAUGAUGAUAACUCAAAACUUGAAGAAAUUGAUUGUGAUGUUUGUCAUAUCAUCAAUGAUGAUGAUCCAAGUAGUGUGGCGGAUGAUGGUGAAGAUAUUAUGGAGUGUGAUCGGAAGGCAUGUGAUGUCUUGGGGGCUUGACAUGUGGGUGCGGUUCGAGUUGAUGCUUCUCAAGUAUGAGAUGGAAAGCAUUAGUGCAAAUUAUGUCGUUCCGUAUGACUACUAUAAGGCGUUUACCUCUCUAUCGAUCUGGUCGGAGAAGGUGGAUCCAUUUAUGGCUAGUGAUGGAAAGUGGCUUUCGGCAACUAUGUAAUGAUGGCGGUAGUGUAAGGGAAAUGUGAUCUUCAAGCAUUCAAGAAGGCUAGAAGUUUGAAAGAUUUUGCCAUCAUCAUUAACAUUGUUGUAGACUUGAAAACUAUGUAUUGAAUCUAUCUAUUGUAUGGUGAUGAAUGAGUCAUCUCUACUAAUUUGGUUUGGGUUCUACUUGUCUAAUUUGAGUCCAAUCUCACUUGGAACAGAACUCAAAACACUCAAAAUAUAAGUUCCUUCUUUUGUCUUUUAUAUUAUAUAUUUUUUUUUCUUA